rnacentral:lncRNA from 1 species
GAAGCACAGUGGUUUAGACCACAGCACCACCUGCUUCCUGAAUAUACAAGCAUACAAUCACUGAUAGUUCCACCUGCCAUUGUGAGGCUCAAAGCAAUGAAGAUGAUGCCUCCCCUGCUGUUGCCAUUGGCUGUGGGUUUCUUGUGAUGUCACAGAAGCACUUGGCAACUGAAUGGAUAUAAAGGCAGGCCAAGGGGAAAGCCCUUUUCUGUUUCCAGCAGGACACACCUGGCAAUGCAGGCGACAUUCAGCUCUGCCCAGGUUUCUUCCACUUGGAGGAAGCAAACAGGUGAAUGGAAGGAGGCAAUCCUCUGGCAGUGGGAUGCUAGGAAGCGAAAAUAAGGCAAGUUUGGUUGCUUGAAGGCUGCUGGUACCUGUGGUUGGAAGCUGGUGGAGAUCUCAUGAUGGACCUAACAGUAGCUUCUGGCUCAACAGAACACCGUGACUGAAACCAGAGCACACGGAAACACCAUUUAUCUUCCUGCCACAGCAGUACCUAUUUAUCUACUUGCACUGGUGUGCUUCAAACUGCUAGGUUGGCAGAAGCUGGGAUAGAGCAAAGGGAGCUCACCCCAUUGUGCAGAUUCAAACCACCAACCUUCCGAUCCCAAAGCCCAAGAGGCUCAGUGGUUUACACCACAGCGCCUUAGAGAGAUAUAGAAUCAGUGGCUGACUACCACACAACCGGACCCCAGCUGUGCCGGUAAUUCAGGGCUGAUAUGGGGGUAAUUAGCCCUGGCAGACUCCCCGGGUUGGGGAAGGACUGUCUUGUAGACCCGCAGAUUGUCUGAGAAUGCCAACUUGCAUCAAGGUGCAAGCGGCAAGACACUGGGUCACAGAGCCAGUACGGCCGGCACUCUCCAAUGCCAUUCUCAUAGCCGGGAAUAUCUGUUUGAAAAAAUGAAUAGAUUUGGACAAUAAACAGACAUGGACUGGAUCGAAGAAGCUUUAGAAAAAACCUGCAGAAGUGUACAGUCCCUGGGGGUUUAAGCUCGGACUUCAAAAAGAUUCUCAUCAUGGUGUUUGGAUAACGGAGGUGUUUGGUAUGGGUUUUCCUCUCUCUACUUAACAUCUGCAACUGGUUUUCAAUGCCAAGCCUCAUUAAGAACUUAUUAUUUUUUAAAAAAGAGUACAGAUGGACUUCUAUUUAUAAUUAGGCAUUUAAUUGUGCAGCUUUACUUAAGACUUGAAAGACUUGAUAAAGAUGGAAGAGGAGGCAAGAUGGCGCUCACUAAUAUGACGCAGCAUGGAAGAAUAUAUUCCUCCCUUUCUUCGAGGGAAGCAGGAGUUAUGUGCUGGCUGAUUUUGCAAUGAUUUGAGAUAACAUCUUGGAACAAUACACAGUGCAGCUGUUUGCAGAAGUUUUUUAUAUUCAUUAUGAGUGAGAGAGAAGGCUAAGUGGUGUCCAGCAGCCCACCCCCAGGGCCCAGAGUGGGGAGAGUGCGGUCUCCAAAGGCUGAUCAAUCGCCAAAUGACUGAUAUUUGUGGAAUACAGUUCAUCUACACUGCAAUAUUGCAAACAGUUAACUUGGAAGGUAUUGGUUCAAUAAAGCUCAAAAGGAAGGUUUGGACAAUUAAUGACUGGGAGUUGCUGCGCCAUUAAAUUUCAGAUAACAGACUUGGACAACAUUCUGGAUUGGAAUGGAGUCAGAGGAAGCUGCGCAGUUGGAAGAAUAUAUACUAACAAAGCUGUAUUUGACGGAUGAAAGUAUAUUAUGUUUGACAUGACUGAGAAUCGUGAACUCAGGGACGGAGAAUUAUAAAGCGUCAAAAUCGAGAUGUGGAAAAUAUGGAAACAAUGAGGAGAGGCAGGACUGAGAUGUGGAGAUGCGCUUCAGAGGCCCAGACUGUGGCGAGCUCCAAAAAAUUAAUAAUCAUAAUUUGGACUAUAAUUUGGUCUUUUUUAUUUUAGUUUUUUAUUUUAAUUGGAGUGUUAUG